CCUUUGGAUGAUUGUCAAGUGACAGUGCUACACAGCCCCGACCCUGAAUGCAAGAUUUCCCACGAGGUCGACCCUAACAACAAAUCGAAAACUGCGCCGGUGGCCACCCGGAAGCUCAACCUUUUGGAGGGAGACAGCGUCGUUUUCAUCGGACCAAGCCACCGCGUUUCCUACCCUCUUGGUUUGGUCGUUGAGAAAGCUCGUCCGGAGUGCGAGCAGUUCGCCAAAGCACGCAAGCAUUUUCAGAACUAAUUUAAGGAAUUGAAGACUAAAUGAAGGCGAAAACCGUCUGAUAUUAAAUCAAUUUUCAAUUUCAGUGAAUUUUUAUUUUUGAUUGCAAAGAUAGAUAAAUUGUGGUUUAAGAAAUCAACAGUUAUGAUUAUGAUAUAUGCUCGGUUAUGAUUCGUGAAUUCACAACUAGUAUAAACAAAGAAGUGUAAUUAGAAGUGCACUCAAGUAUUAUAUCCGUGAAGAUACUGCCAUGUCGAUUAAUCUAGUCUUUUUAUUUUUUACUUUAUUAAUUCUUAAUUAAGAUUCAAUUUAGGACCUAUUUAAAGAGAAGAAAAAUAUGAUUUAAAAUCUAUCUUAUAACCUAAUAAUCUCCUAAUCAAAAUACUAAACUUUUAACAUGUCACCUAUCAAUUUUGCCCUUAAUUAUACUAAGCUUAAAUUCCAUGGUCCAUACUAGUUUGAUUUUUAUUUUUUAUUUUAAUGUGAAAAUUUGGUCUUUUCUUUAAAAUAAUGUGCUAGAUAAGCGUGAAAGUAGCAAAUAAAUAAUGAUGUGUUCACAUUGGAUUUGACACACAUCUCAACCCAUAUCAUCAUUAAGGCCCCAAAAAUUGAAUCAUUAUGUGCCGGUUAAUACGUUAAGUAGUUUAUGAAGUGAUUAAGAUCAAAGGGGAUCCAUGACUUGUAAUGGAUCACUUGUUCAUUUCCUUAAAAAAAUAAUUAAAUAAAUAAACUCGCAAUACCGACUCCAUUCGUAAUUCCAUCAAUUACUCAUCUAUCAAAAAAAUUAGUUAGUUCAGCUAAUCUUCUUAUACUGUUAGUAAAGGAUAAUGUGAAAUUAGCAAAAAAAUAAUGAUUAACGGCCCAAAACAUUGAAUUAUUGUGUGCCUAAGUUAGAAAAUCUUCGAAGGCACGUAGAAAGACAGGUCCCCCAUCUAGUAUACUAUGAGGAAAAGGACGGCUCACAAGAAGUUUAUGUACUAUAAAAUCCCAGAUGCUCAUUGAAUGUCUUGUGCCCAUCCAAGAUUAAAUAUAUUUCCAUAGAAUACGUACCAAUUGUGCUUAUUUACUUUUUACCAUGGCUCUCACAAAUCGAGGCCAAUACCUCUACGUAGAUUUUCUUUUCAUUUUGGCCAUUUGCUCCUCUCAAGCAUCGUCUCGCCAAAUUUAUGAUGAGAAAACCAUGUUGGCGAGACAUGAAGACUAGAUGGCUCAAUUUGGGCCAGUUUUUUUUAUAAGGAUGCAGAGGAGAAAGAGAGGUGAUUCGUGAUAUUAUCAAGGCCAACUUGGAGUUCAUUGAGGCUUUGAACAAGCACAUGGGUCAGAACUACUUCACUCUAGACUAAGCUUAAAUGAAUUUGCAGACCUAACCAAUGAGGAGUUUCGGGAAAUUCGUAAUGGUUACAUGAAACGAUCCUCCAAAUUGAUCAUGUCCAAUUCCACGAAAGCUACAAGUUUUGGAUAUUGAAAUAUCACUGAAGUGCCACCUUCAGUGGAUUGGAGAGAAAAGGGUGCAGUGACGCCUAUCAAGGACCAAGGCAAAUGUGGUAAGUAUUAAACAAGUUGUUAAAUGAUGACGCAUUCACUGUUUCACAACAUAACAUGUUCUUGAAUGAUGAGGCAUGUUAUUUCAAUUUUAUAGGGUGUUGUUGGGUGUUCUCAGCAGCGGCAGCGACAGAAGGGGUUAACCAGCUCAAAACCGGAAACUUAAUCUCACUAUCAGAGCAAGAGCUUGUGGAUUGUGACACUACAGGUCAAGAUCAUGGCUGUGAAGGUGGUCUAAUGGAUGACGCUUUCCAAUUCAUCCAACGCAAGAAAGGCUGACAACUGAAGCUAAUUGCCCCUACCAGGGUGUAAAUGGAACUAGUUGCAACACUCAGAAGGCUGCAUCCCAAACAGUGUCCAUAAACGGCUACGAGAAUGUGCCUAAAAACAACAAAAAUGCUAUGUUGCAAGCCGUCGCUAACCAACCAAUUUCGGUUGCCAUUGACACAAGUGGUUGUACAUUCCAGUUUUAUUCAAGUGGUGUGUUCACUGGAACAUGUGGUAUAAACUUAGAUCAUGGUGCGGGACUAGUAGUGAUGGGACUCUAAAUACUGGCUGGGGAGGAAUUCUUGGGGCACGGUGGGCGGAGAGUGGAUAUGUGACGAUGCAAAUGGGCAUUCCUGCCAAGGAAGGACUCUGUGGCAUUGCUAUUGAAGCUUCUUAUCCAACCGCAUGAUUAAUUAAAAUACAUAUAUAUGUCUGUAAACACGAAUUUCCUGCGACAAAUGAGAAAAAAACACAUAUACAAAAUAAUAUUUGUAUUAAUGAAAUUUAGGGUUACAAUCUCUGUAUUGAAUCCUCUGAUUCGAUCUCCAAAGUGUUUAAAGAAAAUUUGCGAUUGAUAGAAGGGUCGUAGAGACUUGAUCUUGAUCAAACGGGUAGCACAAGGCUUGUUUGGUGUUUGGAUUUUUCUAGGAUGGAGGAACCGGCACAUAUUUGUUGUGCUUGAUGGCUCUUCCAAAGUGAGGUGAAGAAUGCAGAGAGUUUUCUGUUUCUUCUGAAUGCUUUGUCUGUCUAGGCCCCCUUCUUUCGCCUUGAGGCCUCCUAUUUAUAGGCUCCUACAGGAUGCUUGACCUAAAUAGCUUUCCUUUUUUAGGACCCUGCUUUGUGGAAUUCUGAUUUGAUUUAAAAUCAAUUCCAAUAAUUUGGCAAUUUAACCAAAUUAUCUUUGAUUGAUUGACUUGAUUAAUAUUUGAUUUAAAUCAAAGUCAAUCACAGAAGAUUCUUUCCUUUAAUUUUGUCUUCACUUCGAACUGUUUGAUGCACUUCGUCGGAUGUCAACAUGUAUCACUUUUGACAACUAAUCUGAAUUUGAUGAGUCGUACGCCACAUGAACUAAUUAUGGGCCCCACAAUUUAAUCAACCAAACCCUAAUUAUUUUCUUACUUAGUGAAUUUAAUUCACCAAAAUUUCCAUGUCUACAAUGUCAUAAUAUAGUGUGUUGUAUAAAAUAUGUAUAAUUGAAUAAUACAGAAAGACGCUAGCUAUGAGCUGCUAUCCUUCACUUUGAAAUCCAUGCCUCAGAACAUAGAGACAAUUAACCAUGACGUGGAUUUGCUCUUAAAAUCUCACGCAAUUAAUUAGCAGCUCUAGCUAUGAGGUUGAAAUGUUUUCAAUACCAUUGCAAGGUUAAAUCAAGUUAGAUUAAGGGAGCAUAUUUUUGUUCAUCAUCAUUCUCAAUACUUGACACGUGUCUAUUAGUAUAAUCAUGAUUCCUUAAAUUUAUACAGCAAAGAAUUAACUAUGGUUAUGCCAAUGAACACGUACCAAGUGUUAAGAUGGGGGGUGGAUUGGAUCUAAUGUCUACAACUGUAUUCAAUUUAAUUAACUGUAGGAUUCAUUUACAAGGCGAGUGGAAGGAGUCAUCAAUUUUGAAUUAACAAGUUUCUACUUUAACGUAUAACAACUAUGUUCAUAUUUAUUGGCUGGAUAAGUUGUUAUAUUCAGCCCAUUACUAGGAUAAUGUAUGCACUUAAGAUCCAAGUGCUUUGACUUUUGUGCCACAUAAAAUUACAUUCUUUUUCUAAUAUUUUAUGAUGUAAAUUUUUUAAUUUUUUAAUUUUGAAAUCAUUUUUUGGUCCAAUAUUACCCCUUAUGACUUGAAUUGGGUAAUAGUCAUUUAUGUCAUAUUGCCUAUUACUUGUUGCAUAGGUAUAUAUAUGUCUUUUCAUAUUUUCGACAAUGUGUCAUAGUAUUUUAUGUACCUUUUUUUAAUAGGUAACAUACAAUUUUAUUUUGUCUAUUUUUGUAUUUGACUUAUACGUAGUUUUCUAAUUUAUGUUUCUAACUUAUAGAUAACACGAUUUAUCACUCAGUAUUUUUCGUUGCUAAUAAUAACACUAUUUACCUGUAUGUCAGGUACAUAAUUUAAUGUCGGUGCUUGUCUGAUAGAUUAGUAUAAUAUGUGGGUCUUUACUUUUUAUUAAUUAAAUUGUAUUUUAUCCAUAUAUUAGGAAUAUUAUCAAAGAAAGAAUUUAUAUUUUAAAUUCUGAAAUUCAAUUACAAGGAAAUAAUGCAUUAAAUUUAGAUUUUCAAUGUGGUUUCCUUAUUUACCUCAAAGAGUAAAAUUGACACAACAAAAAGAGUAAUAAAUGUCAAAGGACCUACAUCUAAAACCAAAAAAACGAGGACUAAACCCAAUGGCCGCUAAUCGUUUUGGACCUAGAUCUAAGAAACACUUUUAUUUAUUAUCUAACAUCAUUGCAUGCCAUUGACAGUGUGCCUAUGGAUGAGGAAGAGAAAGUUGUGCUUGACUGAUGAUUGACGGAAACUUCCGCAAGUAAAUCCUCAAUGCUACCAGUUGAAGGCCCUUCGAUGCUAAAGUUAGCUUAAGGGGAUGAGAGCAAGCUAUCGACAAUGCAAGGACAUAAGUGUCAAGUAGCAAGUCUUACCCUGUAUCUGGGGUGAGGAGCUAUAUUUAUAGGGAGUUCUAGGUUUUUUUUGGUACUUAGUUUCGAUGUGGGACUCGUGGGAGUGCCUUCCGAGGCAGAAACGCGUCUCAACAAAUAUCCUAGCGAUGAACUCGAGAACAUCCUACAAGAUGCCUUCUAAGGCGUAGAAUUGGCAAAAGACCCUUAAGGUUGUGCGUAGAAUCGAUCGUGGGUGUCGAAAAGACCUACCGAUUCGUACUAUUGGGCUUGCCAGCAUGGGCCAUGGAGCCUUCUUUAGUGUCAUACCCCUUCCACGUGUCAUGGCAUGAGAUGCGGGUCAGGUUAAAUUAAUUAAACCCAUUAUGCAAUGCAUUUCCUUUCAAUUUUUUGUGAUAAACUAAUAGAUAAUUGACUAAAUAAACAUCCUCCAAAGUUUAAAAAAAAAAAUACCAAGUUUUUCUUACAAUUUCUGUAGUUUUUAUUCAAUUUUUAUCGAUAUCGAUAAUAUCCCUAUAUUUCCAUCGAAAUUUCCGUAUUUUUAAAAUGAGACACACCUAUUUUCAAUUGACUACCUAAUUAGUUAACAAAUUAUGAAAUAAAUAAAUAACAAACCAUACAAUCAUGUUUUGAUUCUAAGAUGCUGACAAGUAUGUAUGUUUUUGGGAAAAUAUAUAUUAGGGAGAAGAUAUUAUUGUACCACAUUAUGAAUCACUUUUCUGAUAGAUAUGAGACCUACUUAUAUUGGUAGGUCAUACCUUUAUUAGAGAGGUGGUACAUUAUGCAAUACAAUGAUGUAGUUUCUCCAACAUUACUUUUAUCUUUAAUCAACAUGUAGAACUGUUUCGAACUUGGAAUUGCUUUCAACAUUGGGCUACGUGGGCAGGAAUUCUAGGCUUGGCUUACAAUUCUCUCAUUCUCCAACCUCUUGGAUUUGCUUGCUUGGAUUACCUUAUUGCUGGCUCAUUUGGCUUCAGUUGAGCCACAUUUAGUGCCAAAUCAAAUCGCAUCUUUGUCAUGCCUUUGGCCUUCGAAUCCACUAUGACCUAUUUUGCUCUUCUUUCAACAGUAGUCAUGUUUGAUCCAACCUUGGCUAAGGUUUGAUUCGGCUUAGCUAAAUUUGCAUUCACCAUGUUGGUCUGGGCAGAUGGGAAAGGGUCCUUGUUGAUUGGACUCUUGUCACCCCCAAUUCGAAAAUAAAGAAUAUUCCUGAAUUAGGGUACGUGAAUUGAAUGAAAUAAAAUAAAAAGACUGAAAAAUUAGUUAAAAUACAUUUUUCUUAUAUAAAAAUAAUAAUAAACUUACAAGUGUACAAGAUAUAAAUCUUUUUUAUUUAUUAUCUAACAUCGUUGCAUGCCAUUGACAGUGUGCCUAUAGAUGAGGAAGAUAAAGUUGUGCUUGACUGAUGAUUGACGGAAACUUUCGCAAGUAAAUCCUCUCUAGCAUAGCUUGUGCCGGAAGUGCAAUUGAGGAGCUAUAUGGGUUUGGUGUUGUCUGAGUGUAUUAAGAUGUAUCAAUGGUAUUUUUGGUAGUUAAAUAGGAUGUACUUAGUUAAUUUUACAUUUUAAUUUAAAUAUUAGGGUGUACUUAAAUCAUAGAGUGUACUCAAUUAAUUUUAGAAUUCGUUUAACCACACUCUAUUAUUAUUAAUAGUUUUCUAUCAAAACAAACCCUUAAGGUCCUUAACUAUUGGCUUGCAGCCACAUAUAAUUACUGUGGUGACCUUCUCGAAUGAUCAAUUUUUAUUCAUUUAAGUUGUUGAUCAACUGCUGCAGGCAAGUUAUUCUCCUGAACUCGAGUCCCAUCAAGAGCGGGUCAAGGGGGUGAGUAAUUGUGUCAAUUCCACAUGUAAACAAACAAAGGCUCACAAACUCUCCAAAAUAUACGCAUUCUUUGCUUCUUUUCCCUUUAUAAGAAGAAGAAAGCCCUGUCUAAUUCAUCAUCAGCAAUACAUAGAAUAGAACCAACACUAGCAAACUCAACAUCAACAAUGUCAAGAAAGUCUAGCACUACCGUCCCUGCCUUUGCCUUUUGUUUCUUGUCGCUCCUCAGUUUCGCUUACUCCAACACCACCAAUGACAAAAUCUACCUAACCGGCCUGGUCUACUGUGACAACUGCCAAUUGAAGUCUAUGACCGAGAUAAGUAAGAUGAUUCCAAGUACGUAACGUUAAUAAGUAGGUAACAAACUACCUAAAUGUCGAUUAUAAGAUUUGAAUAUGAGAUUUAUGCAUGCAUGCAUGCACAUUGCCCAUUGUUCAGGUGCAACGGUGCGAUUGGAGUGUAGGGAGGGGGGAACAUAAAAUCCAGCCAAGAGGCCGAAACCAACCAGCUUGGACUGUACGUGUUUAAGUUGGACAAAUCUAAGGAGCCUGUGGAUAAUUGUUAAGUUGAAAACUGCACCGGUGGCCACCCGGAAGCUCAACCUAUUGGAAGGAGACAGCGUCAAUGUCAUCGCACCAAGCCACCGCGUUGCCUACCCUCUUGGUUUGGUCGUUGAGAAAGCUCAUCCCGAGUGCGAGCAGUUCGCCCAAGCGCGCAAGCAUUUUCAGAACUAAUUUAAGGAAUUGAAGACGAAAACCGUCUGAUAUUAAAUCAAUCUCCAAUUUCAGUGAAUUU
rnacentral:lncRNA from 1 species